CAGAUUUUUGAGUUACAGCCAUUUUAAAAUAACACCUGAUAUCAGAUUUAUUGUGUUGUAUAGUAAAAAUAGUUUGUUGUACAUGUAUAUCAGUACAUGUAAUUAUUUGAAUCCUCCAAGAAUUGAACAGAAGUACAUGUACAUGUAUCAUUAAUUCAGGGAAGGGACAAAGAGAAGGACAAGGAGCAGGUGGAGUAGCUGGAGGAAAUGAAGAAGAGAAAGAUGAUGAGAAUGGAACAAUUGCUCUAGAAUCAUAUGAUCAACCAAACACUUUAUCAUCACUCACAUGUAUUCAUUAGAAAAGAGUAUCAUCAGCAUGAACUCAGGCAAGAUUUCAAAUUUCAAUUUGAUCCUUCUUUUGGAUGCCUUGAGCUAGUGUUUUGUACUUUUGUCCUCAGGAUGAACCAAUAACUGGUUGGACUGUUUGUCCUGAUAUAGAUUGAAGAAGGAGAUUUAGAUCAUUUUGGUCAUGAGAGUAAUAAUAUA